CAAUAAAACCCUAAUUUCUUUUCCUGUAAACUCACUACACUCCCCUCUCUAUCCACAGGGCCACCACCACCUACUCCAUUCUUUUCUGAUCUUCGCCGUCGCUGUCACCGUCCAGCCCAGCACUCGCUACCAAUCUCCGCCCAUAUCCCGACAUCGUUCUUAGCCUCUCUCUCCUCGUCGUUCAUUCGCAGUAUCCCUCUUCUCUCUUCGAGUCGUUCGUUAUCAGCCUUAGUGCGCCAUCGUUCUCUCUGCCAUCGUCGUGGCACCCGCGGGCGUCGUCGUUCUCACUCCUCAGCGGCCUCAUCCUUAGCAGGCAUAGAGCUGUGGCGUGGAUCUCAGCGAGUUGAGCGUCGACGUCAGCGCCGUGGUGCUCCGUCUCCCCCCUUUAUCCUCCACUUCCAAAGUUCCAAUGGAGUCUCAGCCUCAAUGGCACCAAAAUGGUGUUGCCACCUAAUGAUUGGAAACAACCAGUUGGUGAGGCAGCUGGCCUCUUAGGACAAGCUCUUGGACAAUUGGGUGCCAAUUUUGCUCCUGAUCUCCAUUUCAAACCUUGUGAAUUUGAAGCAUUGAUUAGAGUGGUUCCAGAUGCUGCAAGGGAAUCUCAUGAUCAGUUAUACAUUGCCAUGGAUAUUUCUCUAAAGGUUCAUGCAGGAAUAAGUGAUCAUGAAAACAUGAGAAUAUGUUCCACAUUGAAGCAUGAAAAGUUGUCAGCUGAAGCUGUGAGACAUCUUAGUAGGAAAACUUAACUUAUUGCUUGAGAUUAGUUUACUUGUCAAGCAGAUCAAGUCCUGGUGCAGAAGUUAAAAUUCAUUUCACUUCCUGUAAAGUAUUAGAUGAAACUUCAAUAAGAAAUGCAUAUGCAAUGGGAAAGGUGAGGAUGGCAGCUUCUGAGUUUGAAAUUGUAACUAGAGUAGUGAAAAACCGGAAUGCCUCUGAGUGCACAGAGUCCAGUGGAUUUGUGCUCUGGCAGAUGAAACAAAAAUGGGCAUUCUGUGGUAACUCUUUUCAGGUUUGGGGAGAUGGCUAUGAGCCAUACCAAAACAAAAAUGGAUGAGGCAUGGACAAUUGAAGAGGUUGCAUUCAAUGUCCCAGGUCUCUCAGUAGAUUGCUUCAUUCCUCGGUAGAUUUGAGGACAGGUUCUGUCAGUUAAGCAUUGGAGAAAUUUCAUAAUUGCAGUGUUGAUAAUAUGAUCUGGAAGAUGAAAAUCUAACAAUGCGGUUAGAAACAUCAUCAAUUCAGACCAAUUAUUAAUAGCAGUCACUAGUUUUUUUUACUAUUAACGUCUAGAAUUUGAUGUACCCAUCAUACCUUUUCUAAUAUAUAUGAAUUUCGUUUGUAUUUUGAUGCUGUUUAUUAUUACUUCUCAAAAAAUGAAAUGUACACACUCCAUUGAUUGUCUAUUCAAGAAGUUUAUGCAUUGUUCACAAUAAUCAUAAAUGACUUGCUUACAAGCCCA